CUUUGGAGAGCGCAGGCUCCGUAUGGCGGCGCUCUAAUCGUCUUCUCUGUCGUUCAUCAGCGGCAUUGCGAGUAAACGAUGUAGGGAGAGGCUGCCGCUGAAAACACGAUGGCUGUCGACGCCAACAGAUACGCCAAAGAAGAUGUGACGUCGAAAGAAAAGAAAUCCUCUCGUAUACAGAAAUUACGAAAACAUCUCAGCUGCGGUUUCGGACGCCUCUCCAUUUCAAAAGAAGAAAUCAUCCCAGAAUUUGGCCAAGACAAUGAGAACUUGGAAGCGAUGAUAGUGAAUGGGGUGACUACAAGUCACUCAGAUGUCCUAUCUUCAGCUUGCGUAGAGCCAGUCGAUAAUAUCCGAUCCCUUUUGGAGCCAAAUGGAAAUGUCCUGCCACCCUCGGCCUCCUUCAUUCGACCUCUGCCCCGAACGAGUUCUAGUCACAGCCAUCUCGACAAGUACCUCAAAAAGUUCGGGAAGUCUGUAGGAGGUCUUCGAUCACCUGUGAAGCGCCAAUGGUCAGCUGGCGAAUCUCACCUCAACCGCGAAUUCUCAAGAAUAAGCGACUUGGAUGUCCGUCCCCGACUUCCACCCAGGCCAAAGUCCGAAUUUUUCAACGUUGGAGAUCCUAACAAAUAUGCCAAGAACGCCACCUAUGAGCCUUCCCUCGGCUUUGGUCGCUCUGAAUCUUACAUAAAAUUGGAGCAGCUGGGUGAAGGGUCUUAUGCUACUGUCUAUAAAGGGUUUAGCGAAUUAAACAACAAGGUUGUUGCUCUUAAGGAGAUACGGCUGCAACCCGAAGAAGGAGCUCCAUUCACGGCCAUCCGAGAAGCCUCCUUACUUCGUGGUCUAAAACAUGCCAACAUUGUUACCCUUCACGAUAUCAUCCACACAAGGGAAACACUCACUUUCGUCUUUGAAUAUGUUUUCCCCACUUUCCUGCCAGAAUAUGAAUUUCUAGCUCAUGUGCAUUCAGAUGAGGUAGAAGGAGAUAGUAUUUAAAGGAAGGUUUUAGAGGAUAGAAUCAGAGUGUGUUUCACCUGCUGAAGACCACGUUUCUAAUUUGACUCUCUUGAAAGCUGUAUUCUGUAGUACUGAAUUAUUCUCGCCGACUUUAGAUCUGAGCCAACUGCAUACAGACCUUAGCCAGUACUUAGAAAGACACCCUGGAGGUCUACAUCCUAAAAAUAUAAAACUUUUCUUAUUCCAACUCUUACGUGGUCUUGCCUACUGUCACCAGAGAAGGGUUUUGCAUAG
rnacentral:misc_RNA from 1 species